rnacentral:rRNA from 1 species
CGGUUAUACGAGAGGCCCCAGUUGAUAAUACCGCGGCGUAAAGGGUGGUUAAGGGCUCCAACCAAUAAAGCUAAAUAGCCCUCCGGCCGUCAUACGCUUCCAGGCGCUAGAGACCCAAUUUUACGAAAGUAGCUUUAGUAACACUCACCUGACCCCACGAAAGCUAAGAAACAAACUGGGAUUAGAUACCCCACUAUGCUUAGUCAUAAACCCAGACAUCGAAAUACAAUUGUAUGUCCGCCAGGGCACUACGAGCAUUAGCUUGAAACCCAAAGGACUGACGGUGCCUCAGACCCCCCUAGAGGAGCCUGUCCUAGAACCGAUAACCCCCGUUAAACCUCACCACUUCUGGUCUCCCCAGCCUAUAUACCGCCGUCGCCAGCUUACCCUGUGAGGGAAACAAAGUAAGCAAAAUGGGCACAACCCAGAACGUCAGGUCGAGGUGUAGCGCAUGAAGUGGGAAGAGAUGGGCUACAUUUUCUAUCGCAGAAUACUACGAAUGCGCAACAUGAAAUAGUGCUUGAAGGAGGAUUUAGAAGUAAAAAGGAAGAAGAGUGUCCUUUUGAACCCGGCUCUGAGGCGCGUACACACCGCCCGUCACUCUCCCCUGUCAAAAUGCAACAAACUUACCUAACCACAAAGCGCUGACAAGGGGAGGCAAGUCGUAACAUGGUAAGUGUACCGGAAGGUGCACUUGG